rnacentral:rRNA from 1 species
UACGUAGGGGGCAAGCGUUGUCCGGAAUUAUUGGGCGUAAAGAGCGUGUAGGCGGCCAGACAGGUCCGUUGUGAAAACUGGAGGCUCAACCUUCAGACGUCGACGGAAACCGUCUGGCUAGAGUCCGGAAGAGGAGAGUGGAAUUCCUGGUGUAGCGGUGAAAUGCGCAGAUAUCAGGAAGAACACCGAUGGCGAAGGCAGCUCUCUGGGACGGUACUGACGCUGAGACGCGAAAGCGUGGGGAGCGAACAGG